rnacentral:rRNA from 1 species
UACAGAGGGUGCGAGCGUUAAUCGGAUUUACUGGGCGUAAAGCGUGCGUAGGCGGCUUUUUAAGUCGGAUGUGAAAUACCCCUGAGCUUAACUUAAGGAAUUGCAUUCGAUACUGGGAAGGCUAGAGUAUGGGAGAGGAUGGUAGAAUUCCAGGUGUAGCGGUGAAAUGCGUAGAGAUCUGGAGGAAUACCGAUGGCGAAGGCAGCCAUCUGGCCUAAUACUGACGCUGAGGUACGAAAGCAUGGGGGAGCAAACAGGAUUAGAUACCCCCGUAGU